GUCCCGAGACGAGAUCCGAACUCAGACCUCUCGCUGCAAUGGUGACAAGCGAGUGUUUUAACCACUGAACUACUGGGGG
rnacentral:tRNA from 1 species